GCUUUAACAAAUAAAACAAAAAAUGGAAGAAAUAUAAGAAGGUUUUCAAGAAAAUCCCAUGGGUCCUUCCUAAACAUCAUCUCUGGCAGUCAGUAUUACCAAUGUGUGAAAACAUCAGAGUAGACACAACAGUGAAAACUUGUCCCUAAUUCCUACUGAAUUUUAAUUUUAAAAAGAGCAGAACUUAUUUCAAAGAUGCAGCAGUGCUGUGAAGUGCUGAAUAAUGCAUUGCAGAAUAUACUGAAUAAUUUGUGUAGAUAGGCACAUGGCAGAGCUUCAGAGGCAGGUAGGUAGGUACCCCAUCAAACUGGUUCUUAGUGACUGUUUUCCAUUUCUGCUUAUUUUCCUUCAUACAGGGACUAUCAAUCACACCUAUUACAUUAACCAUUUUAAAAUUUCAAACUUUGUUCAGUUAAUUGAAUUAUCUUUGGUUAUAUGUCUGAAGAGCUUAGGGGUAGCUUGAGGGGGUAUUUCUUUCUUUCACAACUGCUGUAAGAUACUUAGAAGAUGAUCACUUCAGUUUACUCAAACAUACUUCUAGUGCUUCAAACAAAAGUCAAAUCAAGUGAGAUAUUUUUCUAUUUCUCUUUCCUAUUCAAACGUGUGAUUUGUAACAGGUUAAACCAUGGUUAAUUUUAGAUGAAGUAGUUAAUUUUUCGCAUAUAUGGAGUCUAAACUGCACUAGUUGUUUAAACGUGUCUUUUUAAUUAUGGGCAUUCAUAAAAUAGAGUUGAAAAUCUAUUCAGGAAGCAGAUGAACCUGAAAGGCAGGUUAAAAAAUGGUUUGUAAACAAAUACAAAUAUUCAUGUAGCAAGUCUGAGAAAACAAGUCUUCAAAACAAAUCUUCUAGAGUUUCCAAAAGUUUAGGUUUCUACAGAGAUAUUAAACUGGCUGCACUGUACAUAUGGACUAUUUCCUAUUUUCUCCGCAUUUGUUAAAAUGUCAGCUUUAAUCCAUAUGCCUCAAAAUUUGUCUCUGGAGGGUUAGCUGGUUGUGUGGUACUUGGUUUCUAUCAACUGCAAAGAGAACAGACAAGAAUGUGAGGAAGGUGUAAAAGUGCAUUCUGGUUUGCUUUUUAUUCAAAAGGACAGACACCUGACUGUGCUUAAAGCUUAAUUUAGUCUGUGAAGUAACAUUUUCUUUUCCAGGUAAAAGGCUGUUUGUGUCACAGUGGUAUUAAGGAGAGUGUGUGAAGUGGAUGAAAUACACUGUUAAACUUCUCAUCAUAAGUUAGGAUUCAUGUGAGAAAAGGGGUUGAAAACCCCUGCAGUGAAAAGGAAACAACGUGGAAUCCCUCUGUGCAGCUGACUUAUUUUGGCAAUUUUGGGGUGUUCUGCACAAGGGCUUGCAAUAGAGACAGACUCACAUGGAGACUGGGGAGCCGAGGGUCUCUUUUAUUAUAUGUUACAGUUGCCUGUGUGCCCCAUCCCUGGAGGGGUUCAAGGCCAGGCUGGAUGGGGCUUGGAGCAACCUGGUCUAGUGGGAGGUCUCCCUGCCCAUGGCAGGGGGUUGGAAUUCUAUGGUCUUUAAGGUCCCUUCAAACCCAAACCGUUCUAUGAUUCUAUGUUUCUGCUCUUUGAAGUCUGUUUUUGAGCCAUUGCAUUGACAUUCUUCUAUUUAUUCUCUAAUUAAUGAUGGGUUUAGAGUUUGUCUCUUGUGUAGCUUUCAGAAAACAAAAAUAGGAAAAAAAAUAGGAAAAAAAAAGGUACAAAAACUUGAUUUUGUUUAGGUUGCUUUGCUCCUUCUAUUUCUAAGGAUUUUUAUCCUUGCAGUGUUGCAGAUAAUUCAAUUUGAUGAAGCUCAAAAGCUUUGUAAAAUAAUCUCUCUCUUAUCAUUGAGGUGGUCAGGGCAGAAGUGGAAAGCAUCUACCACAGAGAGAGGCCAGGUUGAGACACGGGUUGUAGGUUUAUAAAUGCACUUUAACAUGCACAGGCCAGUCUGUAAGAAGUACCCCAUUGGAAAUAAGAAGUACUUUAACAGAGAAAGUCAUGUCAUUUGCAUACCAGGUAUUAGACAAGUUGUAAGUAUUGUCUUUUACAGCGUCUUGGUGCUUCACCAUGGGCAUAGCUAAGCUCUACAACAGAUUUCCUGGAGAGACCACGUUAUUGGAGGCUUUCAGAAUUGAAUUGAACAAGAUCUUGAGCAGUAUGAUCAGAUUCAUUAAUUUAGCCAUGCUCUGAACAGGAGGUUGGACUAGAUGACCUCUAGGGGCCCCUUCUAAGCUAAAUUUUUCUGUCAUUCUGUAAUUGGUUGAUAGUAGUUAAAAGGGGUAAGUAACUUUUGUUUUUCCAUUAAAACAAAACAGCAUAUGCAACAAAAUGAUAAAUAAUGUCAGUCAUAUAAAGCCUUACUACUUAAUAAAAAAAAAAAAUUAAUCAUUGUCCCAGUCUCUGUAUAUAACAGAACACAACAAAGCCAUAUUCUAAAUUAGAUGGAGACUUUAAAUGUUUUCUGAGCUUCUGUGAUGUUUAUGCAAAGUUGACAGUUUGGAAGAAUUCCUUUUUAAACUGAUUGGCAAAAGAUUUGAAGUUCAGGAUUAAGUUUUGUCCUUUCUUUUUAGGUACAGACAUAUCUAAUAAGAACGAAACAACAAAUGAAGAUGAAGCUGAGAAAGCAGAAAUGCUUGUGCGUAAAAGGGGAAGAAAGCCCAGGCGUUCUCUGGUUCAGUCAGAGGAAACUGGGCUUUUGGAAAAUUAUAGCACAUGUGUAAAAUUUUACAUGGACAGAAACACUGGAGCCAGAAAGAAAACGUCGGAAAUUAACGUCUUCUGAAGACGAACUAAAAGAGCAGGAGGAAGGUGAAGAAGAAGAUGGUGAG